AAACAUUAUAGUUACACAGUGUAUAUUGAAAUGUUGUUAGGUUGAGUCAGCUAAUAAGGUCCUGCUUUAUGCUGAUGUAAUGAUAAUCCCUAGGGACAGUAGACCACAGUGUCCACCCACUAGUGUUCAACCAGUAACAUAUGCAGUGAUAUAACAUUGAAAUUCCUUGCUGGUUCCAGGUUACAAUAUUUGCUGUAACAUAAACUUUUUUAUAAUAAUGUAUUUUUAAUUAUUUUUAAACUUAUUGUGUAGCAUGUCUGAGUGUGCAUUAACAUCCAUUAAACCAUUAAUUCUUUGAUAUAUAUCACUAUGAUAACAAUCAGUCCACACUAUACAUUA